UCACGCUAGAGAGAACUUGUCCCCGAUACUGCCAAGAGAGAUAGGGGGGAAAAAAAAAAAAAAGGCACCAAGCAUACCGGAAGAACAGAAAGUGAAGAAGGGGAGAAAAGAGAGGAGACAAACCAGACAAGAAAUAGAUCCUAUAUGAUACCAAUGGUUAACUGCAACAGAAAAGCAUACAUCCCCGCUGAUUGGUGUGGGCUUAAAUCUGGUGAACUUUAUUUGACACUGUCGCUUUGUAUCUGAUCUGCCUUCAGGUCCUUUUGAUGAUGCCAGAGUGCUGCAGCCAAGCUAACUCAAACCUAUGUAUUCUGGGGCUACAGGAAAGACGAAGUCAACAGGAAUAAGAUAUGCAUGCUGCUGGCAGCUUCCUGAGAUAUAAACAGAAAAUUCUUAGUCUUUCAAGGCACUAAAUCCAACCUGACUAGGCACAACUAAUGUGAAUGAGACAACCUUUGCAGACUCUGUAGCAACUAGCUACUAGAAAUCUUUAAUAUUAAUAAUACCAAUAAUAGCAGUUCAUGUAUCAGUUGAUUACUUUGCAAACAAAAUGCUCUAAGACUUAUAGGCUUAAGAACAAUUGUUGUGUGUUUUGUUUUGUUUUUUUUUAAAAAGAACAAUUGUUUAUUCUUAGUUUCUCUAACUGCAUGUUGGUUGAACUCAGGCAGCCCUGACUUAGAAUGAGGCCCACUGGGGCUUGGCUUCUCAUCCUAGGUUGGGCUCCUGUGUGUUCAUUCUGGAGCCCAGGCAAAGGGGACAGCAGCUACGUGGGGCAAAGCCUUUUCAGAGCAAUGUCACAGGUGCCAGGGAACCUGUGUGAGAGCUCAUUUCAGAGCUCUGACCAAAUCUGUUUAAGUCAUAUUCACUAGGCACUUACUAUGUGUUCAAGCAACUGAAUGCUUUACCCUUUUUAUUUCAAGUAAUUUUCACAUCAACGCUGUAAAGCCAGGUCUAUUUUUCUCCUCACUUAAAAGAGAAUGAAAUGGAAGUAAAGAGAAAUUAAGAAACUUUCCCAAUAUCUUGCUGCUAGUCAAUGGCAGGGUCAGGAUUCCUGUAUCGGCAGUGGACUCCAGGGAUUUGCCAGUAUAUUCUAUUGUCUGCUUAAAUCCUUAAUCUAUCAAUACUGCAAUUAAAAUGAGACUAGUUUCAAAGUGUUGGAUAUACCUGCGUUCCCAUACCAUGACCCUUAAACAUGAAUUUUGUUUUGUUUAUAUUAUGAGAUAUUUGCUGCACACAAAGUAUAUAUGUUGAUAACAUGCAUCUACCCUGUGAUGUCUAAUAAAAUCAAUACAGAAAUCUACCACCCAGAAUCUAGAAUACUGCCAACAUCUUUGUGUACUCUUUAGGCCUCCUCCCUGAAGGUAACCACUCUCUUGAAUUUUAUAUUUAUUAAUCUCUUGCUUUUUUAAAGAGAUUGAUCAUGUAUGUCUGUGUCAAAUAAUUUUGCUUAAUUGAAACAUCAACUGUGCUGUCAUAUGUAACUACAGUUAAUCUAUUUUUUAUUAUUGUAAAAUAGUACAUUUAGUGAAUAUAUCACAAUCUUUCAAUUAUCCUAUCUGUGAAUACUGGGUUUCUUCUAAUGUGUACACUAUUAAAAAUAAUGCUUCUAUGAACAAUUUCAAUAUUAAUGUAUGGGUUUUUGCUAUUCCACCAUCCUUACCAAUACCUGGUAUUGUCAGACUCAUAAUUUAGGGAAAGUAAAGUAAUAUUUUAUUGUGAUAUUAAUUUGUGUUUCCCUGCUUACUAAGCACUUUUGGCACAUUUUUCUUAGAUAAUCUACCACAUAUGUUUUCCUACCUGAAAACUGCUUAUCCAUGACUGGCCAAUUUUCCUACUGGGUUAUUUGUCUUGCUUAUUGAUUCAUAUCAACUGUUUAUAUAGUUAUUACAUUCAUAUAAAAGUACCCAUUAAAUAUAUUACUGA